CACCUAUACGCGGCAGCAUCAGUGAUCUCUGCACUGCUGGUGGUGGGAGCCUGAUCCCAGCAGCAGUGUGGUGACCUCCUAUCUUACCCCACCGGGCAGAGCAGCCAUGCGGAGAUCUCCGCGGAUGGUGCAGCAGUUGAGUUUCGCGGUGAUCAUCUUCUUUACCCCGCCGGGGGACAGAGCCAAGUGUGUCGGGCAGCACACUCUCCCGUCCUCCUCUGCCCUCUCCCAGGCAGCAGCCUCCGCAGCAGCACCGGCGCCUCUGCACGGGGCACAUGGACCCAGGCAAACACAGAUUAUAUCAUCAAACAUGGAAGCUGAAGAGUGCUCAUGUGACAGGGACAUAGUUGUGAUUUCCCAUCUGAACAUUUUCGCCCUGAAUUUUGCACAACUUGGAAUCAAGCCCUGUUUCCUAUGUAUCACAUGAUCUCAUAGUGACCAAUCAGCAGUGAGACCCUAUAGUUGAAGAUUCCAGACCGACCCUUCAUGCUCCAAUUCCACACUGACAAGGUUCAAUUUUACG